rnacentral:tRNA from 2 species
GCUGAUGUGGCUCAAUCGGUAGAGCAGCUGAUUUGUAAUCAGCAGGUUGUAGGUUCAAGUCCUAUCAUCAGCUCCA